AUCUCUUCUCGGCUUUUUGGCUAAGAUCAAGUGCAGUGUUUGUUCUUAUCAGUUUAAUAUCUGAUACGUCCCCUAUCCGGGGACCAUAUAUUAAAUGGAUUUUUGAGAACGUGGGCUGAUUUUGAAGCUUGCUUCUGUCGCCCAUGCAUUGACCCGAUAUGGUGGAAUCUUCAGGUACAGUGCACCAAAA